CGGCGGACGGGUGAGUAACACGUGGAUAACCUACCUAUAAGACUGGGAUAACUCGGGAAACCGGAGCUAAUACCGGAUAAUAUAUUGAACCGCAUGGUUCAAUAGUGAAAGCGGUUUUGCUGUCACUUAUAGAUGGAUCCGCGCCGCAUUAGCUAGUUGGUAAGGUAACGGCUUACCAAGGCAACGAUGCGUAGCCGACCUGAGAGGGUGAUCGGCCACACUGGAACUGAGACACGGUCCAGACUCCUACGGGAGGCAGCAGCC
rnacentral:rRNA from 1 species